GACGAACGCUGGCGGCGUGCUUAACACAUGCAAGUCGAACGGAAAGGCCCUGCUUUUGUGGGGUGCUCGAGUGGCGAACGGGUGAGUAACACGCGAGUAACCUGCCCUUGACUUUGGGAUAACUCCAGGAAACUGGGGCUAAUACCGGAUAGGAGCUCCUGCUGCAUGGUGGGGGUUGGAAAGUUUCGGCGGUUGGGGAUGGACUCGCGGCUUAUCAGCUUGUUGGUGGGGUAGUGGCUUACCAAGGCUUUGACGGGUAGCCGGCCUGAGAGGGUGACCGGCCACAUUGGGACUGAGAUGCGGCCCAGACUCCUACGGGAGGCAGGAGUGGGAAAUAUUGCACGAUGGGCGGAAGCCUGAUGCAGCAACGCCGCGUGCGGGAUGACGGCCUUCGGGUUGUAAACCGCUUUCGCCUGUGACGAAGCGUGAGUGACGGUAAUGGGUAAAGAAGCACCGGCUAACUACGUG
rnacentral:rRNA from 1 species